UACUGCCGUAGCCCGUUAGUCUCGGAGCCCACGGUGCGGGUGCGGGUUCCUUCCCCGACGAAGGGCGGCCUGGCUCCCAGGGAAAAGCCGUGGCCUCUCCAGGCCUCCAGCGUCCUUUUGUUCUCUAAUACCCGCCCAGCGCCAGUUACCAGAAGCCAUGACGUGUCCCUGCGUCGGCCCAGCCUGGCCGAAGACAGAGGAAGAGCAAGCUGGACCCCAAGUCGAGGGAGGAGCCCGAAGACUCAAAGGAAGGACUGCGUCAGACUCCCCAUAGGACUGCAUCUGACUCCCCAUAGGUUCAUUACUCCCCCGCUCAGACGGGGAUGAGGGAAGCUCCUUGCUUCUCUCACCUGUAUCACCGUCCCCAAGGGCCCGGAAUCUCAGUGCUCAGACCCCCGCACCCCAGAGUUCUUCCAUUGGCCAUCAGAAACACUGGGAGGGCCCUGGUCUCUUGCCUUUUCCCCCAUCACCUGCCCCUCAACUGGGAACGGCAAGAAGGCCCCACGUUGGGUGCCACCUCCCGGUCCCCGGGGGAGGCUGCAGUCCUGUCAAUGCCACAGCCUCCUAAUCCCAAGAAAGAUCCAUUCUGGCGAGCCUCGGUGUGUCAUUCUAGAUCUGGAAUAUUCUACCCAUGAUGUGUGCUCAGGGCCAACCCCACCCCAAAUUCAUGUCCUUCCAAUCCCAGGCUCAGCCCAGCCCAGCCCAGCCCCUCUUCCUUGGCACCCUAUCUCGUUCGCCUGUGCUCCUGGAGGACAAGACACUGUUUCUCAUGCAUUUCUGGAUCCUGGGUGCCUCGCUCAGGGGUGGGCAUGCAU